rnacentral:rRNA from 1 species
AACGAACGCUGGCGGCAUGCCUAACACAUGCAAGUCGAACGAGACCUUCGGGUCUAGUGGCGCACGGGUGCGUAACGCGUGGGAAUCUGCCCUUGGGUUCGGAAUAACAGUUGGAAACGACUGCUAAUACCGGAUGAUGACGUAAGUCCAAAGAUUUAUCGCCCAAGGAUGAGCCCGCGUAGGAUUAGCUAGUUGGUGAGGUAAAGGCUCACCAAGGCGACGAUCCUUAGCUGGUCUGAGAGGAUGAUCAGCCACACUGGGACUGAGACACGGCCCAGACUCCUACGGGAGGCAGCAGUGGGGAAUAUUGGACAAUGGGCGAAAGCCUGAUCCAGCAAUGCCGCGUGAGUGAUGAAGGCCUUAGGGUUGUAAAGCUCUUUUACCCGGGAUGAUAAUGACAGUACCGGAAGAAUAAGCUCCGGCUAACUCCGUG